rnacentral:rRNA from 1 species
GACGAAGGAUGCAAGCGUUAUCCGGAUUCAUUGGGUUUAAAGGGAGCGUAGGCGGACUUGUAAGUCAGUGGUGAAAUCUUUGGGCUUAACCCAGAAACUGCCAUUGAUACUGCAGGUCUAGAGUACAGUUGCCGUUGGCGGAAUAUGACAUGUAGUGGUGAAAUACUUAGAUAUGUCAUAGAACACCGAUUGCGAAGGCAGCUAACGAAACUGUAACUGACGCUGAGGUUCGAAAGUGCGGGGAUCAAACAGG